UACAGAGGGUGCAAGCGUUUGUUCGGAAUUAUUGGCGUAAAGCGCGUGUAGGCGGCCGUGCAAGUCGGGUGUGAAAGCCCUCGGCUCAACCGAGGAAGUGCGCCCGAAACUGCAUGGCUUGAGUACCGGAGAGGGUGGCGGAAUUCCCCAAGUAGAGGUGAAAUUCGUAGAUAUGGGGAGGAACACCGGUGGCGAAGGCGGCCACCUGGACGGAUGACUGACGCUGAGACGCGAAAGCGUGGGGGAGCAAACAGG
rnacentral:rRNA from 1 species